rnacentral:rRNA from 1 species
ACUCCUACGGGAGGCAGCAGUGGGGAAUUUUGGACAAUGGGCGAAAGCCUGAUCCAGCAAUGCCGCGUGAGUGAAGAAGGCCUUCGGGUUGUAAAGCUCUUUUGUCAGGGAAGAAACGGUGAAAGCUAAUAUCUUUUGCUAAUGACGGUACCUGAAGAAUAAGCACCGGCUAACUACGUGCCAGCAGCCGCGGUAAUACGUAGGGUGCAAGCGUUAAUCGGAAUUACUGGGCGUAAAGCGUGCGCAGGCGGUUUUGUAAGUCUGAUGUGAAAUCCCCGGGCUCAACCUGGGAAUUGCAUUGGGGACUGCAAGGCUAGAAUCUGGCAGAGGGGGGUAGAAUUCCACGUGUAGCAGUGAAAUGCGUAGAUAUGUGGAGGAACACCGAUGGCGAAGGCAGCCCCCUGGGUCAAGAUUGACGCUCAUGCACGAAAGCGUGGGGAGCAAACAGGAUUAGAAACCCGUGUAGUCCCAU